rnacentral:rRNA from 1 species
UACGAAGGGGGCUAGCGUUGCUCGGAAUCACUGGGCGUAAAGCGCACGUAGGCGGCUUUCUAAGUCAGGGGUGAAAUCCUGGAGCUCAACUCCAGAACUGCCUUUGAUACUGGAGAGCUUGAGUCCGGGAGAGGUGAGUGGAACUCCGAGUGUAGAGGUGAAAUUCGUAGAUAUUCGGAAGAACACCAGUGGCGAAGGCGGCUCACUGGCCCGAUACUGACGCUGAUGCACGAAAGCGUGGGGAGCAAACAGG